CACAGCUCCAGGGGACGCCGUUCCUGUCCUGGACUAUGUGAGUGGUGCUCCCUGGAGCUGAGCA
rnacentral:pre_miRNA from 1 species